UUAACUUAUUAACGUAUGGAGUUGGAUCGUUUGCCUACGUUUGCCGCUUGGGGCGCUGUUCCAACUGCAUACUUGAGCGA
rnacentral:pre_miRNA from 1 species